rnacentral:lncRNA from 1 species
AGAGGAGCAAAGUGAGUGAUGGGCAGCAGGAGGACACAGCCUUCCUCUAAGAGCUUGGAGCAGAAAGCCAGGAUUUGGGAUCCGAAGCAGGACGUGCAGACCUACGAGGGGCUGCGGACGGAGGCACCGGAGGGCACUUCUCACCUCCGGGUGUGCCGGGAGGGGCACGCGGACCGAGCUUGCAAAUGCAGGAUGGGGUCCCAGUAGAUCUUUGCUCAUCGUCUUCCCAGGACCAGAAGCGAACGGCGGCAGAUAGUUGCUAGGAAUUUCGGAUUAUUUAAAAACAAACAAACAAACAAACAAAAGCCCUCAUCCAUCUGAGAGCAAGGACGUCUGGUUUGGGGCAGGGAAACAGAAACCCCGUGGCGAGAAGAAAUUCCUCCUCCGUUUGCUCUUUGGAAGGGUAAGCGUGUGCGUACUUUUAAAUGAGUAGCAGCAAACUUCUAACUGAGAAAAGAAAAACUGAAGGACUAAAAUACUCUUGGGCAAAGUGAAAUAAGGAUACUGUGGGUUUGCGAGUUUUCCAAGAAGGGGUCCCGAGAUGUGGCUUGCUCGCCAGCAGGGGGCACGUUUUCUUUAGGAUUGCGUCCCAGAAUCUCGAAACCUCGCAGCCGGACUCUCUCCGAGUCCCAUCGCCGGAAAUCGCUCUGCAGAUAAUAACCCUCCGGUGUCUGGAAAUGUUUAAUUACCGCGAACUCUCCUUCCUCCAGCGCCACCCGCCGCCGGUGCAGCCCGGAAGGACCCAGCGCCGCGGGUGCAGUAGGUGGCUCUAUCUGCAGGAUUCCACCCUAACUAUUCACAAUUCCGUUCAAACUACUGUUCUCCAACAUCCCCG